rnacentral:rRNA from 1 species
GUCCCGAGCGUUGUCCGGAAUCAUUGGGCGUAAAGGGCGCGUAGGUGGCCCGGUCAGUUCGUGGUGAAAGCGCGGGGCUCAACCCUGCGUCGGCCAUGAAUACUGCCGCGGCUGGAGCACUGUAGAGGCAGGCGGAAUUCCGGGUGUAGCGGUGGAAUGCGUAGAGAUCCGGAAGAACACCGGUGGCGAAGGCGGCCUGCUGGGCAGUUGCUGACACUGAGGCGCGACAGCGUGGGGAGCAAACAGG